rnacentral:rRNA from 1 species
UGGAUCCAGACUUUGAUUAUGGCUCAGGACGAACGCUGGCGGCGCGCCUAACACAUGCAAGUCGAACGGAGAUUACAGGCGGAAGUUUUCGGAUGGAAGCUUGUAAACUUAGUGGCGGACGGGUGAGUAACACGUGAGCGACCUGCCUAUCAGAGGGGGAUGACGAUUGGAAACGAUCGCUAAUACCGCAUGACAUAGCGGAACCGCAUGGUUCUGUUAUCAAAGAUUUUAUCGCUGAUAGAUGGGCUCGCGUCCGAUUAGAUAGUUGGUGGGGUAACGGCCUACCAAGUCGACGAUCGGUAGCCGGACUGAGAGGUCGAACGGCCACAUUGGGACUGAGACACGGCCCAGACUCCUACGGGAGGCAGCAGUGGGGGAUAUUGCACAAUGGGGGAAACCCUGAUGCAGCGACGCCGCGUGAGGGAAGACGGUCCUCUGGAUUGUAAACCUCUGUCUUCGGGGACGAAAGUAGACGGUACCCGAGGAGGAAGCCACGGCUAACUACGUGCCAGCAGCCGCGGUAAUACGUAGGUGGCAAGCGUUGUCCGGAAUUACUGGGUGUAAAGGGAGCGUAGGCGGGCAGGCAAGUCAGGCGUGAAAUAUAUCGGCUCAACCGGUAACGGCGCUUGGAACUGCAGGUCUUGAGUGAAGUAGAGGUUGGCGGAAUUCCUAGUGUAGCGGUGAAAUGCGUAGAUAUUAGGAGGAACACCAGUGGCGAAGGCGGCCAACUGGGCUUUUACUGACGCUGAGGCUCGAAAGUGUGGGGAGCAAACAGGAUUAGAUACCCUGGUAGUCCACACCGUAAACGAUGAUUACUAGGUGUGGGGGGACUGACCCCUUCCGUGCCGGAGUUAACACAAUAAGUAAUCCACCUGGGGAGUACGGCCGCAAGGUUGCAACUCAAAGGAAUUGACGGA